rnacentral:lncRNA from 1 species
GGCAGAAAAUUCGAAGUCACUGUCAACCACAUUCUUGUUUAAGAAUAAAUUUGUACUCUAUGAAUGUACAGAGUGACCAAUCAGGUUAUUGUAAAAUCGUUUUUAUUAGAACUGAGCAUAAAAACAAACAUUAACAAAUACAAGCACACACACACACACACACACAAACAGACAGACACACACAAACAGACAGACACACAGAGGCACACAGACACACACACACAGGCACACAGACACACACACCUACCCUCAGGGCUGAAACAUAUAAAAGAGAUAAAUGAUAUAUAUGUGUAUAUAUAUAUAUAUAUAUACACACAUACACACACAUACACACACAUACACACAGACACAUACACACACAUAUAGA